rnacentral:rRNA from 1 species
UACGUAGGGUGCGAGCGUUAAUCGGAAUUACUGGGCGUAAAGCGUGCGCAGGCGGUUUUGUAAGCCAGAUGUGAAAGCCCCGGGCUUAACCUGGGAAUGGCAUUUGGGACUGCAAGGCUUGAGUGCGGCAGAGGAGACUGGAAUCCUGGUGUAGCGGUGGAAUGCGCAGAUAUCAGGAGGAACACCGGUGGCGAAGGCGGGUCUCUGGGCAGUGAACUGACGCUGAGGAGCGAAAGCGUGGGGAGCGAACAGG